rnacentral:lncRNA from 1 species
GGCGAGGUUGUCGAUGCGUUCACUCAUUGCUUGUUGCUCUUGAUGCAAAGCACGUUGUGCACCAAAGAGGUGGCUCUUGGUGACGUAGGAGUUCAUGUCAUCGUCGUGCUCAAUGAAGAGUGGGUUGGUAGAGGUACUUGUCCUAUCCAUCAUUCCAAGAGAAAAAUGUGAGUGGAAGAAUAGAAGAACGAAUACCAAAUGUACCUUGACCGAAGUUGAAAGUGGAUCAAUAAUCACUCCAAUGUGGACAAGGAAAUAGCACACUUGGUACCAAUUCUUGUCGGUUUCUCACACCUACACAAGUAAAAGCUUAUGGUGGAGCUUGGUUAGGAUGGUGGCACAAAAUUUAAUGCAAUUGUAAGUGAGCUUCAAUAAUGUUGGAGAAGAUUCGCAAGAUUGCAAUGCAACAAGUAGACUAAGCAAUAUAAGGUACACGGAAACACACACGCAAAAAGAUAAGUGGGGUCGUGCAACCAAGGAUGAGCCAAAAUGUGGAAUCCACAAAAAUGCUCUUGUUGCACAACACUAGAGAGACGCUAGCACGAUUGCACAAUAGGCGGAUACAAAGACUUGUGCACAACCUAUUCAGAAAAAAUGCAACGACUUCUAUCCCAAAUAUGCUCUAUGCAAGGUGUUUCUGUGCGAUGAUCCAAGAUGAUCUGGUAUGACAAUCUUAAUGUUGUAUGAUGCUAUGGUUCUUGCCUAAAAGCUCUUUGUUUAUAUUUCCCUUUUGCUUAAAAGCUUGUUUGGCUCUUUGUUGUUUGAGCUAUUUUCUCAUGCAAUGCUUCAUGAACCAAGACAACAAUUUUGUAUGCGAUGACAACCUUGUGACACAAGAGAUGAUACCAAGAUAUGCAACAAUUAUGUAUGUAUGCUAUGGGAAGUAUGAUCACUAAUGUGCACAAGUCUCAUUGCCGGCAAUACUCAACGGCUAGUCUCGAUGGGUAAGCGAUGCAGAGGAGUAAGGCUAUGAUGGCUAUCAAUGUAAUGGCAAGAAUGAUAUGUCCAAUACCAAGGUGAGGUUACCGUUCCGUUGGUUCCUCGUCCGUAAGCAAAACGGAUGACGAUGAUCCAAUGAGCGUCACGAAUACCAAGAUGUAGUCGAGGUAAUCGUUGUUGAUGACGCGUCCGUGGCGAAGAUGAGCGGCGGUUAUGUUGAUGUCGUACCGUACCUAAAUAGAUGAAACACAAGUAGGACACGGAACCGCAACUCAAAUUCUCAAAGCAAAAUUGGACCAAAAUUGUUAGAGUUGGUGUUGGGAAGCAGUGGUUGUGUAUGUGGUAUAUGGUGGUGCUAUGCGGAAGUGGUGGUGGUAUGCGGAAGUAUAUGUGGGCACGGGAACAAAAUUUGGCGAAAUAUGGACGCAAAACGGGCGGUGGAGAGGAAGAGAUGCUGCCAGGGGCCGGAUGUCCGGGCUUGAUGGCCGGAUGUCCGGGGUGCCGGAUGCGGGGUAUCGGGCCGGAUGUCCAGGCUCUGGAUCCGAGGAUGAACGGGAUGAACACCGCGUGGAGAUGUCAAAUCCGGGCAAUAUUCGGAGAAAUUUGUGGAUGGAAAUUGGGGGAAAAUGGAUGGAAGGAUAGAUCUACCUGCAACACACGAAAUUCGCAGAUCAAAUCCAACAAAACUUCAUCACACCAACAAAUCACAAAAAAAAUUGGGGGCUAUUUUUGUGGUGAAUUUUCAAAUUAGGGACAAAAUCAACAAAAACAAGGCUAGCAACACAACGGGGAGGCUCCAAAAUCGUGAUCAACGUGGCUCUAGAUACCAAGAUGAUGUAGGGUAGAACCCUAAUCGGUCGAUCUUUCACGAAAGGAGCGGAUCCCGCGAUGAACACGAAGAAUACAAGGGGGAAAACGAGGGGAAACACGAGAGGAAACACGAGAAAAUCUCUAAACCAAAACGAAAUAGUCACACAUGUGCUAGAUCCUCGAGUACAUAAGAGAUCACACGAUCCACGGACAACUAAGGACGAUACAAAGGUAGCCGGUCUUCACCGUGAGGAGGUCUUGAAGUUCUUCUCCGCAAGGAGGUCUCGAAUCCAAAGGGAUCUUCUCCGAAGAGGGGCCGCGGUCUCUCUCGUGGAGUAGAUCCAAUGUGGAUGAGCAAUGCUCUAUCUCUAAAUAUGAGCUUAAUCAAUGCUAACCCUAGAAAGAGGAACGCGGAGGAGUAUAUAUAGUCUAGGGGUUGAAGGGUACACGGGCCUCGGCCCUUCACUGUGCGCAGAUAGGGGAGGCCGGACGUCCGGGCGUCGGGCCAUAUGUCCGGGCUUCCACGCGAGGCCGGAUGUCCGGGCUGGAGAGGCCGGAUGUCCGGGCUGGAGCGGCUGGCUUCGUCGCUCUCGGGUUCGGAGGGGUCCAGAUUUCUGGGCUGGAGGCCGGAUAUCCAGGAGCUCGGGAAGGGCCGGAUGUCCGGGCUGUCGGGGUCGGAUGCCCGAGGCAUGUAGAUGCUUGGCGGCUAUGCAGCUUGAUGAUGGACGACGCUCCAGCCGACAGACGUCCGGGGUUGUGGCCGGAUGUCCGGGUCCUGGGAGGUGUUCUUGACUCCUUCCGUGGGUUCCCUUCAUCCAUGAACUUGGGGGCUUGUACACCUUCACGUGCAUCUACGGGAGGGUCCUCUUGGUACCUAAUCAUGCACAACGUCUCGGAUUCAGGUAGUAGCCAUGUCUCAAGAGGAUCAUAUGUAAUAUCACUAAGGAAGGAAGUCACCUCGUUCUCGAGAGCUCUAGCUCUAGCUCGUGUCAUGGGUCCUCUUGGCUCUUGUUGAGGCGAUGGUAGGUCCAUGGGGAUGACCGUAGGAUGCUUCGCAUCAACCGCGAAGAAACCAAAGAAAUACAAAGGCUAGUCCAACAUCUCAUAGACCAUGGACAUGUGUGUGAAAGUUUGAGUCCUUGUGUCGUGCCGGUCAUUCUUGUGCCAAAAAGAAAUGGUAGUUUUCGCAUGUGUUCCGAUUGUAGACCCAUCAAUGCUAUCACCAUUAGAUAUAGGCAUGCUAUUCCUUGCCUUGAUGAUAUGCUCGAUGAUCUUAGCGGUGCCACCAUUUUCUCAAAAUUGAUCUUAAAAGUGGUUAUUAUCAAAUAAGCAUACAUGAAGUUGAUGAAUGGAAAACCGUUUUCAAAACAAAAUUUGGUUUGUACGAGUGGCUAGUUAUGCCUAUGGGUUUAUCGGAAGCACCAUGUACUUUCAUGUGUGUUAUGCAUUAUGUGCUUCGACCUUACAUUGGUGUGUUUGUUGUGGUCUACUUUGACGAUACUCUUGUGUUUAGUAAAUCCCUAAAAGAGCACUUAGAUCAUCUUAGGGCCGUUUUGCAAACUCUUAGAAAAGAGCGCCUUUAAGCCAAUAUGGAAAAGUGCACUUUUGGUGUUGACAAGAUUGUUUUCUUGGGCUUUGUUGUCUCUUCCAAAGUUGAAGCAAUUAAAACUUGGCCACAACCUACUAAUUUGUAACAAGUGCGUAGUUUCCUUGGUAUAGCGGGUUUUUAUCGUCGUUUUGUGAAAGACUUUAGCACUAUUGCCGCACGGUUGCCAACUUUGAGUAAGAAGAACGCACCCUUUGUUUGGGCUCCAUCUCAAUCUACCGCAUUUGAUGAGCUCAAAUCUUUGCUUUCACAUGCCCCAAUUCUUGCAUUGCCUAAUUUCAACAAAACUUUGGAGGUUAAUUGUGAUGCUAGCGGUAAUGUAAUUGGUGGAGUUUUGAUGCAAGAAAAGCGACCCAUUGCAUACUUUAGUGAAAAACUUUACGGUGCUCAACUUAACUAUCCCAUAUAUGACAAAUAAUUGUAUGAUUUAGUGCGAGUAUUGCAUGUUUGGGAGCAUUAUCUCCGCCCACAUGAAUUUGUCAUACACACCGAUCAUGAGACACUGAAGUACCUUAAAGGUCAAACCAACUUGAAUAAACGGGAUGCUAAAUGGAGUGAAUUUAUUAAAUCUUUUCCUUAUGUGAUCAAGUACAUUAAGGGUAAAAAAAUGUUGUCGCGGAUGCUCUUUCAUGCAAAUUCAUGUUAGUUAGUAAACUUGAGUUGAAUGCUAUUGGCUUUGAGCAUGUUAAAGAUCUUUAGGCACUUGAUCCUACGUUUGCGAUUCCUUAUGCCAAAUGUCUUGCUAACACUUGUUGAGAGAACUAUUAUCUCAAGAAUGGCUACCUUAUGCUCACUAACAAGCUUUGUAUACCCGAGUCUUCGCUUCGUUUGCUACUUUUGCAAGAGGCCCAUGACGGAGGACUUAUGGACAUUUCGAGCGCGACAAGACCUUUGCCACACUCUCCUUCAAGUAAUUUUGGCCAAAAAUGUUCCGCGAUGUGGCACGCUUCACCAAGAAAUGCUCUACAUGCCGCAAAGCUAAGUCACUAUCUCAAUCUCAUGGUUUACAUAUGCCACUACCAAUUCCGUAUCAACCAUGGGAAGAUAUUAGUAUGGAUUUUAUGUUUGGUUUUCCUAGGACUCAAAAUGAAAAGGAUUCCAUAUUUGUUGUUGUGGACCGAUUCUCAAAAAUGACCCAUUUCAUCCCAUGCAAUAAGAUAAACGAUGCUUCACAUGUUGCAAACCUCUUUUGUAGGGAAAUCUUGAGGUCACAUGGAGUGCCAAGGAUCAUUGUGUCGGACCGCGACGUCAAGUUCCUAAGCUACUUUUGGAAGACAAUAUGCGCCAAGAUCGGCAUCAAGCUACUAUUCUUGACGGCCUAUCAUCCCUAAACCGAUGGCCAAACGGAAGUCAACAACCAGACGCUAUCUACUCUUCUAUGUGUGUUGAUAAAGAAGAAUGCCAAGGAGUGGGAGGAAUGCUUACCCAUCACCGAAUACGCCUACAAUCGAGCUCGACACUCUACUACCGGCAAGUCCCCCUUAGAGGUUGUGUACGGCUUCAACCCAUUGUCCCCAUUGGACAUUCUACCUCUUCCACUCCAAGAAUGUGCAAACAUUGAUGCAUGUGCAAGGGCAAGCUUUCCCAAGAAGAUACAUGAAGAUACAUGGACAACGAUCGAGCGUCAAGUACAUCGCAUCGCCACCAAGCUCAACACCAACAAGACACAAAUGGUGUUCCAAUCGGGAGAUCUCGCAUGACUUCAUCUUCGCAAGAACCGCUUCCCCAACGAGCACAAGUCCAAGCUACUACCACCAGCUAAUGGACCCUUUAAGGUGCUAGCACGCUACAACGAGAACGCUGAUACGUCUCCAACAUAUCCAUAAUUUUUGAUUGUUCCAUGCUAUAUUAUAUUCUGUUUUGGACAUUAUUGGGCUUUAUUAUACACUUUUAUAUUAUUUUUGGGACUAACCUAUUAACCGGAGGCGCAGCCCAGAAUUGCUAUUUUUGCCUAUUUCAGAGUUUCGCAGAAAAAUAAUAUUAAACGGAGUCCAAACGGAAUGAAACUUUCGGGAACGUGAUUUUCGGAACAAACGUGAUCCAGAGGACUUGGACCCUACGUCAAGAAAGCAACCAGGAAGGCACGAGGUAGGGGGUGCACCUACCCCCUAGGCGCGCCCUCCACCCUCGUGGGGCCCAUGUUGCUCCACUGACGUACUUCUUCCUCCUAUAUAUACCUACAUACCCCCAAAUUACCAGAUACGGAGCCAAAACCCUAAUUCCAUCGCCGCAACCUUUUGUACCCGUGAGAUCCCAUCUUGGGGCCUUUUCCGGAGCUCCGCCAGAGGGGGCAUCGAUCACGGAGGGCUUCUACAUCAACAACAUAGCCUCUCCAAUGAUGUGUGAGUAGUUUAUUUCAGACCUUCGGGUCCAUAGUUAUUAUCUAGAUGGCUUCUUCUCUCUUUUUGGAUCUCAAUACAAUGUUCUCCCCCUCUCUUGUGGAGAUCUAUUCGAUGUAAUCUUCUUUUGCGGUGUGUUUGCCGAGACCGAUGAAUUGCGGGUUUAUGAUCAAGUUUAUCUAUAAACAAUAUUUGAAUCAUCUCUGAAUUCUUUUAUGUAUGAUUGGUUAUCUUUGCAAGUCUCUUGGAAUUAUCAGUUUGGUUUGGCCUACUAGAUUGAUCUUUCUUGCAAUGGGAGAAGUUCUUAGCUUUGGGUUCAAUCUUGCGGUGUCCUUUCCCAGUUUCAGUAGGGGCAGCAAGGCAUGUAUUGUACUGUUGCCAUCGAGGAUAACAAGAUGGGGUUUAUAUCAUAUUUCAUGAGUUUAUCCCUCUACAUCAUGUCAUAUUGCUUAAAGCGUUACUUUGUUCUUUUGAACUUAAUACUCUAGAUGCAUGCUGGAUAGUGGUCGAUGUGUGGAGUAAUAGUAGUAGAUGCAGGCAGGAGUCGGUCUAUUUGUCUCGGGCAUGAUGCCUAUAUACAUGAUCAUACCUAGAUAUUCUCAUAACUAUGCUCAAUUCUGUCAAUUGCUCAACAGUAAUUUGUUUACCCACCAUAAUACUUAUGCUCUCGAGAGAAGCCACUAGUGAAACCUAUGGCCCCGGGGUCUAUUCUCGAUCAUAUUAAUCUUCCAUCAACAAGCUAUUUCUUUUCCGUUUUUAUUUUGCUUUAUUUACUUUCCAUCUUUAUCAUAAAAAAUACCAAACAUAUUAUCUUAUCAUAUCUAUCAGAUCUCACUUUCGUAAGUGACUGUGAAGUGAUUGACAACCCCUUUUAUUGCGUUGGUUGCGAGGAUUUUAUUUGUUUGUGUAGGUGCGAGGGACUCGCGCGUGGCCUCCUGCUGGAUUAAUACCUUGGUUCUCAAAAGCUGAGGGAAAUACUUACGCUACUUUGCUGCAUCACCCUUUCCUCUUCAAGGGAAAACCAAUGCAGUGCUCAAGAGGUAGCAAGAAGGAUUUCUGGCGCCGUUGCCGGGGAGUCUACGCAAAAGUCAACAUACUAAGUACCCAUCACAAACCCUUAUCUCCCGCAUUACAUUAUUUGCCAUUUGCCUCUCGUUUUCCUCUCCCCCACUUCACCCUUGCCGUUUUAUUUGCCCUCUCUCUCCGUCCUCCUUCUCUUUCCCUAUUUGCCUCUUUUUUGCCCGUUUCUUGCUUGCUUGUCAUUAUGGCUAGUCCCCUAUCUUCUCCGUUGUCUCCUGAAAAUGAAGUUCUUAAUUUUAAGCAAAGGGAAAGAUAAAAUCUAAAAGAUGAUUGGUAUAGAAUUUGCAAUGCUCAAAAUAGAUCUACCAGGAAGCAAUCCACUUCCAUUCUUCUUCGCAAUUUUGAUGUAGGCGCUACUCCUUGGCACAGAUAUAUCCUUGAUACCAUUACCGGAGGGUAUUUCUUGGGUAGCCAUACUUUUGAUUGUUAUAAUGCUAUGAUAGAUUUGUUUGGCUCACACCCUCUUUUGGUUAAUGGAACUAUGUUAACUUUGGAGCAUGUAAUGUAAAGACUUGAAAUUAUUGAAAAUAAAGUUGCUACCGUAGAGUUAAUUGAAAAUUUGGAUAAAAAGAUCCACAACCAAAUUACUCAAUAUGGAUCUAAAGUAGGAGUCACUUUGAAAAAUAUUAAGGAGAAGGAACCCAUAGUUAAUGAAAGAAUAAAUCAGGAUUCAACUAGAAUCGAUAAACUUGAGGGUAUCAUUACCAACUUGGGAACCGCUUUUUCUUCCGUAAAAAAUACUCCAAGUCCUCCAACUAAAAUUGCCAAGCUUAUGUAUGUUCCUAAAAAUAAGGGUGAAUCCUCUAGCAAGGAAACUGCGGAUCUCAAAUCUAUAAGUAUUCAUCCCAAUCUUUUUGCUAUCAUUAAGGAACCAUUUGCUACGAAUGAUUUUUUCGAUUUUGAGACUAGAAGUUUGAUAAUUAAUAAAAAGAAAGAAACUCCUAAGGAUGAUAGAUGUCUCAUUAAAGAAUUGCCAACUAAAGCUGGCAAUACCUAGAUCUAUCUUCGCUUUUAUGCCUAGCUAGGGGCGUUAAACGAUAGCGCUUGUUGGGAGGCAACCCAAUUUUAUUUUUAUUCCUUGCUUUUUGCUCCUGUUUAGUAAUAAAUAAUUUAUCUAGCCUCUUUUUUGGUUGUGUUUUUUGUGUUUAAUUAGUGUUUGUGCCAAGUAGAACCGUUGGGAAGACUUGGGGAAAGUCUUUUUAAUCUUGCUGUAAAAAACAGAAACUUUAGCGCUCACGGGAAUUGCUGCCAUUUUUAUUUGGAAAGUGAUAUUUAGUUAAUUAUUUUUGAAUAUGAUUAAUAGAUAAAUUACUCACGUCCAGCAAUUUAUUUUAGAAUUUUUAGGGUUCCAGAAGUUUGCUUUAGAUACAGAUUACUACAGACUGUUCUGUUUUUGACAUAUUCUGUUUUUCGUGUGUUGUUUGCCUAUUUUGAUGAAUCUAUGGCUAGUAAAAUAGUUUAUAAACCAUAGAGAAGUUGGAAUACAGUAUGUUUAACACAAAUAUAAAUAAAUAAUGAGUUCAUUAUAGUACAUUGAAGUGGUGUUUUGUUUUCUUUCGCUAACGGAGCUCACGAGAUUUUCUACUUUGAGUUUUGUGUUGUGAAGUUCUCGAGUUUUGGGUAAAAUAUUUGAUGGAUUAUGAAACAAGGAGUGUCAAGAGCCUAAUCUUGGGGAUGCCCAUGGCACCCCAAUAUAAUCUAAGGACACCUAAAAGCCAAAGCUUGGGUAUGCCCCGGAAGGCAUCCCCUCUUUCGUCUACUUUCAUCGGUAACUUUACUUGGAGCUAUAUUUUUAUUCACCACAUGAUAUGUGUUUUGCUUGGAGUGUCUUGUAUUAUUUGAAUAUUUAUUUGUUAGUUUGCUAUAAUAAUCUUUGCUAUACACACCUUUUGAUAGAAACACACAUGAUUUGAAAAUUAUUAAAAUACUCUAUGUGCUUCACUUAUAUCUUUUGAGUUAUAUAGUUUCUGCUCUAGUACUUCACUUAUAUAUUUUAGAGCACGGUGGUGGAUUUGUUUUAUAGAAAAUAUUAUUCUCUCAUUCUUCACUUAUAUUAUUUUGAGAGUCUUAAACAGCAUGGUAAUUUACUUAAACUAGGAAAUUAAUCCUAAUAUGCUAGGCAUUCAAGACUAGUAAAAAAUAUUUAUGAGUGUGCUGAAUACUAAGAGAAGUUUAAUACUCGAUAAUUGUUUUGAGAUAUGGAGAUGGUGAUAUUAGAGUCAUGCUAGUUGAGUAGUUGUGAAUUUUAGAAAUACUUGUGUUGAAGUUUGUGAUUCCCGUAGCAUGCACGUAUGGUGAACUGUUAUGUGAUGAAGUCGGAGCAUGAUUUAUUUAUUGAUUGUCUUCCUUAUGAGUGGCGGUCGGGGAUGAGCGAUGGUCUUUUCUUACCAAUCUAUCCCCCUAGGAGCAUGCGCGUAAUACUUUGCUUUGAUAACUAAUAGAUUUUUGCUAUAAGUAUGUGAGUUCUUUAUGACUAAUGUUGAGUCCAUGGAUCAUAUGCACUCUCACCCUUCCACCAUUACUAGCCUCCCUAAUACCGCGCACUUUUCGCCGGUAUCAUACACCCACCAUAUACCUUCCACAAAACAGCCACCAUACCUACCUAUCAUGGCAUUUCCAUAGCCAUUGUGAGAUAUAUUGCCAUGCAACUUACCACCAUUCCGUUUAUUAUGACACGCUCCAUCAUCGUCAUAUUGCUUUGCAUGAUCAUGUAGUUGACAUUGUAUUUGUGGCAAAGCCACCGUUCAUAAUUCUUUCAUAUAUGUCACUCUUGAUUCAUUGCACAUCCCGGUACACCGCCGGAGGCAUUCACAUAGAGUCCUAUUUUGUUCUAAGUAUCGAGUUGUAAGUAAAUAAAAGUGUGAUGAUCAUCAUUUUUAGAGCAUUGUCCCAAGUGAGGAAAGGAUGAUGGAAACUACGAUUCCCCGACAAGUAGGGAUGAGACUCCGGACUAAAUAAAAAAAGAGGCCAUAAAAGAAGAGAAAAGGCCCAAAUAAAAAAUGAGAGAAAAAGAGAGAAAAAUAGAGAAGGGACAAUGCUACUAUCCUUUUACCACACUUGUGCUUCAAAGUAGCACCAUGAUCUUCAUGAUAGAGAGUCUCCUAUGAUAUCACUUUCAUAUACUAGUGGGAAUUUUUCAUUAUAGAACUUGGCUUGUAUAUUCCAAUGAUGGGCUUCCUCAAAAUGCCCUAGGUCUUCGUGAGCAAGCGAGUUGGAUGCACACCCACUUAGUUCCUUUUGUUGAGCUUUCAUAUAUUUAUAGCUCUAGUGCAUCCGUUGCAUGGCAAUCCCUACUCACUCACAUUAAUAUCUAUUAAUGGGCAUCUCCAUAGCCCGUUGAUACGCCUAGUUGAUGUGAGACUAUCUUCUCCCUUUUUGUCUUCUCCACAACCACCAUUCUAUUCCACAUAUAGUGAUAUGCCCAUGGCUCAUGCUCAUGUAUUGCGUGAAGAUUGAAAAAGUUUGAGAACACCAAAAGUAUGUAACAAUUGCUUGGCUUGUCAUCGGGGUUGUGCAUGAUUUAAAUACUUUGUCUGGUGAAAAUAGAGCAUAGACAGACUAUAUGAUUUUGUAGGGAUAACUUUCUUCGGCCAUGUUAUUUUGAGAAGACACAAUUGCUUAGUUAGUAUGCUUGAAGUAUUAUUAUUUUUAUGUCAAUAGUAAACUUUUGUCUUGAAUCUUUCGGAUCUGAAUAUUCAUACCAAAAUUAAGAAAAUUACACUGAAAUUAUGCCAAGUAGCAUUCCACAUCAAAAAUUCUGUUUUUAUCAUUUACCUAUUGGAGGACGAGCAGGAAUUAAGCUUGGAGAUGCUUGAUACGUCUCCAACGUAUCUAUAAUUUUUUAUUGUUCCAUGCUAUAUUAUAUUCUGUUUUGGACAUUAUUGGGCUUUAUUAUACACUUUGAUAUUAUUUUUGGGACUAACCUAUUAACCGGAGGCCCAACCCAUAAUUGUUGUUUUUGACUAUUUCAGAGUUUUGGAGAAAAAGAAUAUCAAACGGAGUGCAAACGGAAUGAAACCUUCAGGAAUGUGAUUUUUGGAACGAACGUGAUCCAAAGGACUUGGACCCUAUGUCAACAAAGCAACCAGGAAGGCACAAGGUAGGGGGGCGCGCCUACCCCCCAGGCGCGCCCUCCACCCUCGUGGGGCCCACAUUGAUCUACCAAUGUACUUCUUCCUCCUAUAUAUACCUACGUACCCCCAAAUUACCAGAUACGGAGCCAAAACCCUAAUUCCACCGCCGCAACCUUCUGUACCCAUGAGAUCCCAUCUUGGGGCCUUUUCCGGAGCUCCGCCGGAGGGGGCAUCGAUCACAGAGGGCUUCUACAUCAACAUCAUAGCCUCUCCGAUGAUGUGUGAGUAGUUUAUUUCGGACCUUCGGGUACAUAGUUAUUAGCUAGAUGGCUUCUCCUGUCUUUUUGGAUCUCAAUACAAUGUUCUCCCCCUCUCUUGUGGAGAUCUAUUCGAUGUAAUCUUCUUUUGUGGUGUGUUUGUUGAGACCGAUGAAUUGUGGGUUUAUGAUCAAGUUUAUCUAUGAAUAAUAUUUGAAUCUUCUCUGAAUUCUUUUAUGUAUGAUUGGUUAUCCUUGCAAGUCUCUUCAAAUUAUCAGUUUGGUUUGGCCUACUAGAUUGAUCUUUCUUGCAAUGGGAGAAGUGCUUAGCUUUGGUUUCAAUCUUGCGGUGUCCUUUCCCAGUGACAGUAGGGGCAGCAAGGCACGUAUUGUAUUGUUGCCAUCGAGGAUAACAAGAUGGGGUUUAUAUCAUAUUGCAUGAGUUUAUCCUUGUACAUCAUGUCAUCUUGCUUAAAGCGUUACUCUGUUCUUUUGAACUUAAUACUCUAGAUGCAUCCUGGAUAGCGGUCGAUGUGUGGAGUAAUAGUAGUAGAUGCAGGCAGGAGUGGGUCUACUUGUCUCGGACGUGAUGCCUAUAUACAUGAUCAUACCUAGAUAUUCUCAUAACUAUGUUCAAUUCUGUCAAUUGCUCAAUAGUAAUUUGUUUACCCACCGUAAUACUUAUGCUCUCGAGAGAAGCCACUAGUGAAACCUAUGGCCCCCGGGUCUAUUUUCCAUCAUAUUAAUCUUCCAUCAACAAGCUAUUUCUUUGCCGUUUUUAUUUUGCUUUAUGUACUUUGCAUCUUUAUCAUAAAAAUACCAAAAAUAUUAUCUUAUCAUAUCUAUCAGAUCUCACUUUCGUAAGUGACCGUGAAGGGAUUGACAACCCCUUUAUUGCGUUGGUUGCGAGGAUUUUAUUUUUUUGUGUAGGUGCAAGGGACUCACGCGUGGCCUCCUACUGGAUUGAUACCUUGGUUCUCGAAAACUGAGGGAAAUACUUACACUACUUUGCUGCAUCACCCUUUACUCUUCAAGGGAAAACCAAAGCAUUGCUCAAGAGGUAGCAAACGCCUACAAGAUCGACAUCCCACGACACAAGUACAACGUAAGCGACAUCUUCAAUGUCAAGGACUUGGCGAAGUACCAUGGUGAUGAAGAUCACGAUCCGCGGACGGAUCUCUACCAGGAGGGGGGGGGAUGAUGCGGAGCAUCCUUCCAUCAUUCCCAUGGACUCUACACCAACACACCAAGCACCACGUGGGCCUAUGACAAGAGCUCGAGCACGCGCAAUGAAAACUGAGGUGAACUCCUUCCUACUUGACAUGCAUAUGUACACGAAUGGGACUUUGUUGCUACCUCACCAAAAUGCACUAUGUAUCAUUAGGUACGAAGAGGAACAUUCCCAAGCAGCUAAGGAGCAUCACCAAGGAGUAGGAGAAGCAACCCAAGGACUUGAGGAAGAAGAAGGAAGCACAAAGGAGCAGGACAGAAGUCCUAGGCGACCCCGUGUGCACGGCCCCCCGAGACCCCGUGCCCACGGGCUACACAGUGAGCUACGGUUGUAGCACCCCGUGCGCUUGGGCGUGUACCGUGUGCACGGGACCCCCAUGCGCACGGGCCCAACUUACCCCGUGCGCUCGAGCCCUACAGGAUGGCCGACUAAGUUCGGGUUUUGGGCCUCCACUUCAUCCUCCUUGCCCCAAGCCUAUAUAUUCCAUACCUAGGGUUAUGUUUAGGGUUAGCAAAGACAUAUGUGAGAUAUUUGAGAGAUUUGCUCCUUCUACCACUCCAUUGGAGAUCAAGGCCUCUUAGGAGAGGAUCCACUUGUGGAUUUCAAGACCUCCUCUUGGAGAAGACUAUCAUCAUCAAGACCUCAUCUCUUAGGAGUGGGAAGAACUUUACCUAGUGCGUGUUUCCUUUGAUUGUUCAUGUACUCUCGUGGAUCUAUGUGUUUGCUAUUCUAAUGGAUGUGUGAUUGGGUUUUGUUGGAGUGAAUUCCUCUUUGUGUUCUCGGUAUUCAUCCCUCUUUCCCCUCCAAGUCUGAAAAUAUCCAUCUUAGGGUUUCACCCUACAACAAUACGUUUCCUCCUAGUGACGCACGUUGCCGGAAGGCCUAGAAUAAAUCUCGUAAAAUGCGAGCACCAACGUAAGUCUAAAACUUGAACUCUGUUGGGUUAGUUAUAUCACUGUCCUCCUAACCAUCCAACUACAUGUUGGUUCGCCAUAAAUCCUCUUUUUAUCUAUAUGAAAUGACAGUGAUGUCGUCUAACAAAAGAUGCUAGCUCAAGUGAAGUGCAUGAACAUGCUCUCAAAAUUAAUGGCACAUUUAUAUAUUUAUAUCAAUGGCUCUUUACCUUUAUUUCUACAAGUCUUAAAUUAUCACAAAUAAUAAGUACAAUACGUGUGGCACAAUGCACUCCAGCCCUGACCUUUUUUACAACUAAAGUUGCCAUCUGAAAAAAAACUUACCAUCCGAAAAAAAGUUGUCAUGCUUGACUAUUAAAAUUGUCAUACUUGCAUCACUAAGUUUGCCAUGAAAAACGUUCGGAGUUGCCAUGUGUUUGUACCACACAUGUGACACUUAUCAUUGUCCUAAAUUAUUUGUCUGUUAAUUUAUAAUACAUACUGUAAAAUUUCCGGACAAUUCAAAUCAAAAGGAAGGUAAAACGAAGAAAGUGUCAACAAAGAAUUUUGUGAACAUUCAUGGGGGAUCAAUAUCAUGAGUUGUCCAGGAAGAAACAAUAAUAACAGAAGCUAAAAUAUAAACCGACACCCUGGGUUUAGAUUACUAGAUACACACACAAACACAUUUGUUGCCUCGAUUGUUUCCUCUCCACCGAUCAACCCACGUACGCAUGCACACAAGAUGAGUAUCUUCACUUCUGCUCUGCUCUAGUUAGACUCGAGCUGCGCGUACCACACACCCUGGAUCUUGACAUCCUUGGGCGCCUUGGCGCCGAGGUCGGUGUCUGACGGCUGCACGCUCUCGAAGACACCGAUCACCUCGCCGGUCUCCGGCUUGCUCUUGGUCACGCUGAGCGUGAUGUUGCCCGUGGACGAGGACGCGUUCUUCACGUUCUCCUUAGCCAACUCCUCCUCGUCUCCUCUGCCUCCGGCGGGUAGCGCCACGGCGUUGUCGUAGCCAGUAGAGCCACCACGGCCCUUUGGGUCGAGGAAAGACGAACCCCUGUAGCUGGGCACGAGGAAGGGCCCGCUGAAGCUCUCGGGCUUGCCGGUAGCGACGAGCUGCUUGACGGUGAAGAGGAAGGGCACUCGCUCGCCUCCGGGGAGCUGCACGGUGACGGCCGCGUAGUCGAUGCCGUCCUUCUCCUCGAACUUGAGGGUGCCGUCGGCGCCGACCUCGAGCGGGCCUUCCAUCUCGUCAAGGGUGUAGGUGAGACGGGUCAUGAGCUUGGUUUUCUGGAAGGCCGGCGGCUCGUUCUUCUGGAUGCCCUCGGCCUUGACGGUGAAGGAGGUGGGCUCCAGGCAGAACUUCUUCAUCUCGUACUUGCCGGCCUUGAAGGGGAAGGAGUCGACGCCGCCGUCGAUGGUCGGGCACUGGUUCGCGGUGCCGGUACCCUUCACCUCCAUGUAGGUCUUGCUCUGGAUCUCGUCGAAGGUCAGCCUCUU